rnacentral:rRNA from 1 species
AUUGAACGCUGGCGGCAGGCCUAACACAUGCAAGUCGAACGAGUGGCGGACGGGUGAGUAAUGUCUGGGAACCUGCCUGAUGGAGGGGGAUAACUACUGGAAACGGUAGCUAAUACCGCAUACCAUCGGAUGUGCCCAGAUGGGAUUAGCUAGUUGGUGGGGUAAAGGCUCACCAAGGCGACGAUCCCUAGCUGGUCUGAGAGGAUGACCAGCCACACUGGAGAUGAGACACGGUCCAGACUCCUACGGGAGGCAGCAGGGGGGAAUAUUGCACAAUGGGCGCAAGCCUGAUGCAGCCAUGCCGCGUGUAUGAAGAAGGCCUUCGGGUUGUAAAGUACUUUCAGCGGGGAGGCGUUACCCGCAGAAGAAGCACCGGCUAACUCCGUGCCAGCAGCCGCGGUAAUUC